rnacentral:rRNA from 1 species
AUUGAACGCUGGCGGCAGGCUUAAUACAUGCAAGUCGAGCGGGGUGAUGGUGCUUGCACUAUCACUUAGCGGCGGACGGGUGAGUAAUGCUUAGGAAUCUGCCUAUUAGUGGGGGACAACAUCUCGAAAGGGAUGCUAAUACCGCAUACGUCCUACGGGAGAAAGCAGGGGAUCACUUGUGACCUUGCGCUAAUAGAUGAGCCUAAGUCGGAUUAGCUAGUUGGUGGGGUAAAGGCCUACCAAGGCGACGAUCUGUAGCGGGUCUGAGAGGAUGAUACGCCACACUGGGACUGAGACACAGCCCAGACUCCUACGGGAGGCAGCAGUGGUGAAUAUUGGACAAUGGGUGGAACCCUGAUCCAGCCAUGCCGCGUGUGUGAAGAAGGCCUUAUGGUUGUAAAGCACUUUAAGCGAGGAGGAGGCUCUUUUGGUUAAUACCCAAGAUGAGUGGACGUUACUCGCAGAAUAAGCACCGGCUAACUCUGUGCCAGCCGCCGCUGUAA